ACGGGCCCGCACAAGCGGAGGAGCAUUGUGGUUUAAUUCGAUGAUACGCGAGGAACCUUACCUGGGCUCGAACGUAAGAUGACUGUAGGUGAAAGCUUACAUCUCUUCGGAGCAUUUUACGAGGUGCUGCAUGGUUGUCGUCAGCUCGUGCCGUGAGGUGUCGGGUUAAGUCCCAUAACGAGCGCAACCCCUACCUUUAGUUGCCAUCAGGUUAAGCUGGGGACUCUAAAGGAACUGCCUACGCAAGUAGUGAGGAAGGCGGGGAUGACGUCAAAUCAGCACGGCCCUUACGUCCAGGGCUACACACGUGCUACAAUGGCCGAUACAGAGGGCAGCUACCUGGUGACAGGAUGCAAAUCUCCAAAGUCGGUCUCAGUUCGGAUCGGAGUCUGCAACCCGACUCCGUGAAGUUGGAUUCGCUAGUAAUCGCGCAUCAGCCAUGGCGCGGUGAAUACGUUCCCGGGCCUU
rnacentral:rRNA from 1 species